CCUGCCACUAUGCCUGUCAUUUUUUGUGAAUUGAGUAUAGUCCAGUGGAAGCUAAGACGGAACCAGCUCUAGGAAGCAGGUCUGCCCACACUAUUGGGCAACUCUGUGCCGAAAGGUCUGGAACAUCA